rnacentral:hammerhead_ribozyme from 1 species
GCACCUCUGGUGAGUCCAACAAUAGGACGAAACGGCCGUCCAGUGC